CCUAUGGGACCUAAGGGGACUGGGGUUCAUUGGGGCAUGCGAUAGAUUAUUGAUCCUAAAUCAUCCCCCAAAGUCCUCGCCAACUCCCAAACCCCCUAAGCAUCAUCCUUCUUGCCCCAAAACAGAGCAUUAUUAUGGCCAUUCUAAAUAUUCCAUAAAAUCGUGAUGAGAUUCUCAAAUGCCUUAAGAUCCAAUAAGCAGGUGGCAUCCUCAAGCCGAUCAAUACCACUCUCAAAGGGAGAAUCAAGUAAGCGUCCGUCAAGCCUACCAAAAGAAAAAACCGUACGGGCCUAUUUUCAUUCCCAAUUUCGCAUCGAUGGCAAGUGCGAUCGAAGUCAUGGAAAAUCGAGGCCAUUUUAACAUUAGUUGGGAGUAAGUUGUGACCAACCCUCCAUGCAAAGAUACGGAUUUGAAAAGCACAUGGAGUUUCCAGAUAGUCCUCCCGAAUAAGCAGUGCGGCCCAUAACCCAUCUUCUUAAAAAUAAGCCAAGAAUAGCCAGAUUUUGAUGAAUAGCACUCGGACUUGUUGUGAAACUAAACAAUUGGAUCCAGUGGACCAUGUUGAAUAGUCGGUAAGGCACAAAUAUGAUCACACAACCUAUUGCCAUAAAGUUCCUCCACCUGAUCUCUGUCCCACACACAAAAGUUAGUCCUCCACAACUCACUCACCAAACCAUCCCAAAUGCCAUUGAAAGAAGCCUUCAACGAAUUACCAUCAAGAUCCUCAAAGCCCCAUCAGUCGGACCCAAACCUAGCAGUCAUGCCAUUACCUAUUUGGCAUCCAAACACGGUCUCAAGUGCUUUAACCAUGUGCAGGAUACUCAUCAAAGAGAAGGAGGGCUCAUCAACUGUCUGAGGGUGGAGCACAUCCCAAUCCAAAAAGUACUUAGAGCAUAGAACAAGGUAACAUAGAGUAUCCUUAUUAUUGAUGAUUUCAAAAACUAAUUUUUAUAUAUUCAAUAAAAACAUGUCACUUCAUAUUUUUAAAAGAAUUUUUAAUUAAUAUUAUGUAUUUUCUAACACUAAAUCAAUUCUCUUUAACAAUAUUUUAACUCUUGUCGCAUUGAUUAAUUAAAUAAAAAUAGCAAAUAAAAAUAACGCACGUUGAUGGUGUUCUUUUUGUUAAAAUAGGUUUAUGAUUUAGAAUCUAGAGUUUAAUACUUUGAUUUUAGGGGAAAAUGGCUAGAAUAAGAUUUAGGGGUGAGGUUAAAGUUUAAGUCGAUUAAAAUUUAGGGUUUUAUUUUUUUAAAAUAAUUUUUUUAGAUCUUAAUCUUAAAUUUUUCACACACAAAGAAAGAUAACUUAUUAUAUAUUUUAAUUUAAUAUCUUUAAUAGUCAUUUUCAUUACUAUGGUUACAUUCGAAUCUUAACAUAUACUUCAUCAUUAAUUUUAAUCACACUACUACAAUAACUAGUUUCACCACCCAUCUAAAAGCAACCUAAUUUCAAUAUUUUUAAGCUGUUACAACAAUAUGAGACAAAAACAAGUGCUACCUUUAAAAUUAGCCUGUCCUUGAUCUAUCAGUUGUAUAUGAAAAUAAACAUAACAGAAGUAAAAAGGAAGUGUCCCCACAGUUCUUUUGACAACUUUGGUCCUAAAUCUAUAAUAUUUUUCUAGUGUAUUAAGUACUUUACAGGUUAUAUAGAUGGUUCUAAAGCAAUAACUUAGUACCAUUACACAUUCAAACGAACCUUUUUUAACCAUUUAUUGCUUUCCAUGAAGUACCAAUUUGGCAAUUUUUUUUACAAAAAAAGCAUGAGUAUUUUCAAAAGAUCUUGUAGAUAAUCCAGCUCUAAUCGCAGCCACUAGUAAAAGCUGGUUUAUUUUAGUUCUAUUAAAAGAAAUCAGAUUAUUAGACUACUUGCAUAGGUGAAAGAUUUGAUAUGAUCUGAUAGCAUUGAGUUGCAGGCUGUAUAAUAUUUCUGAUAACAACCCACCGUAUGUAUAUAAAAAAAUUGCAAGUAACUUAUACUAGUUUGACAACUAAGAUGAACUAGUCAUCAAUUAUUGUUGUAAACCUGGCCUGCACAAUAGCAUGCAAGAGCUGGUCGAAUAACUAUGUAAUACACAGUUGAUAAUUGUACUUUCUCCAUUUGCUGGUUAGAAACCUAUUCCACUACUGUCCCUAUCAUGCUCCUGUGAGGCUCAAAAACUAUAGUUUUUUAACAUUAAUGUGCUUGGUGCUUUAGUUUUAUCAAGUUUUUAAACAUAUCUUCUUCCAAUAUAGAGUAUUCCAGGAUUCAAGCGCGGCUGUGCCAAUAGUUACUUGUUGCAGAAGUGGAGAUUCAUAGUUCCAGAUUCAUGGAAAACAGACAACAUGGUACGGUAUACAGUUCAUGUCCUUGAUAGCUAUGAGUCAAAGGACAUCAUGGUAUGUUUUAUCGAAGGUUUCAAGGCAGUUUUAUUCGUCUCAUCAUAAUUAUAUAUGUUGAUGUGCAAAAGAAUUACGGGAUAUAAUAAAAUUCAAUGAUUGUGUAAGUCCUGUAAUGAUGAAAUCAGUUCAUUGAGCAUUAAGGAAUGUAAAACAAAAAUAUUGGUUUCUAUAAACAAUUUCUACAAUAAUUC
rnacentral:lncRNA from 1 species